AAUACAUCCACAGGUACACCUCCAAUAGCCUGUCAGAAGCUAAUUGGCUAAUUUUCUAAAGGCUUGACAUCAUUUUCUGGAAUUAUCCAAGCUGCUUAAAGGUAUAGUUAACUUAGUGUAUGUAAACUUCUGACUCACUGGAAUUGUGAUAUAGUCAAUUAAAAGUGAAACAAUCUGUCUGUAAACAAUUGCUGGAAAAAUUACUCGUGUCAUGCACAAAGUAGAUGUCCUAAACGACUUGCCAAAACUAUAGUUUGCUAAUGUUAAAUCUGUGGAGUUGUUAAAAAAUGAGUUUUAAUGACUUCAACAUAAGUGUAUGUAAACUUCUGACUUCAACUGUACAUCAUUUUGUGUGUGUGUGUGUUUACAUCCGGAAGAUGCAUUUUUAGGUUGUUUGCUCAUCUGCAAUAUGUCUAUAAGACGUUUCCUCUCAGAUGUCAGUAAGACAUUCAGAAGAUGUCUUUGAGACAUUUAUGAUUUAGAAUGUUUGUAAAUCUGAUCUUUUUAAGAUGUUUAGCAGAUGUUUAUUAGAUUGUGAUGCUUUCGGAGAUGUACGUGUGCUAUCUGGGGUUGCUUGUGAAAAUGGGGGAUAUUUUACUGUUUUUGAGAGGUGGAAAUAUGAAAUUAAAAGUUAAGCUCAAUCGACAACAUUUGUGCCAUAAUGUUAAAAGCACUUACAUUAAUUCUUCUGUUAAAACUUGCGUAUUAUUUUUGUAAUACAUUAUUUGUGUAUUUAUCUGAGCUGUAAAGUUCUUUAAAUCAUAAUUUUUACAGGGUUUGUUCACAUCGUCAUGGCAAUGUAGUUGUAAAAUUGUCUGUAACUUUACACAGAAAAGGUUAAUGAGCAAUUAUAUCGCACUAAAAUCAUGUUAACACCCAUAUUGUUUGUCUCGUGGCAAUACUUUUAAAACCGUGAGUAUUUUAAAGUUUACGGAUUGGCCCCAUUAACGUCCAUUGUAAGUGCCUCACCAUAACCCAGAUUUUUGCUCUCUCUUUUUUUUUUUUUUUUUUUUUUUUGUGCUUUAAACAAAAAAUUACUUUUUUUUGUAAUCAAUAUUAUGCCACAAAUGCUGUCGAUUUAGCUUAACUUGUAUUAAACACGGAAUAUUCCUUUAAUAAAGCAUUAAUAAAAAGUACCAUGGGUUUUUUUUUUUUUUUUUUGCCUACCAUACCACCACAGCACUUGUUUUGUAAAAGUUUAGUUAAUAAUAUUUCACACAAAUUCUAUUUUUAUUUUGCUUGUAAAUGCCCUGACCUAUAUACUGUAUUUGACAUUUAACCAGGCUGAUGAGUUUGUGUGCAUAUAGUAUGUUUAGUGUGUAAAUAUUUGAUUGUGUAGCCAUAUGGGAUCUAUAUUUUUUUCUUAUGCCCUAUUGUUCAUCCUCUUAGCUACAUCUGAAUAAAAUAAUCAAUGGUCCAAUGGUAAGGCUUUUAUGACAUCCCCAACAUUGUUUUGCCAUCCACAAGGCAUCUCACUAGUGGUCUCUAAGCUCUCUCUCUGAAAUGUGUUUGGAAUAUCAUGUAGCCUUUAGAUUGUUUAAGCUCUACUUAACCCAUAUUAAGGUUACAUUAUAUCUCUUAUUAGGAGAAGAUCUGACCUGAACUCAUUAGUUGCAUCAAUAAUGAUCAAUGCAGCAGAAGCUUUAAACAAGCAUCACGAACGCUCUACUCUUAAGUCAGUGUUAAGAAGCUUAAGAAACCCAGUUCAGCAAACCAGUUGGCGUCAUCAAUUACAACCAGCAAGGACACAAUGAGAUUAUCACCUAAUGCAAUGUUCUGCAUCCUAAUAUCUCACCUUGGUGGACAUGUUUUACAUACAGGUACAUCAUUUGACAUGAUAAGAUCAGAAACUUUGCAUGGAAGCAUCAAUAUUUUAUUUUGUACUUCCUCAUGAAAAUUGAACAUCUUAAAAUGUCAUGUAACAGAGAGAUAGUUGUGGUCAUGUGAGAGCAAUGGUUCUGGUUUUAAUUAAUGCUUUCAUAACAUCUGAUCUGAUAUUAGAAAGUUUAUUCAAAUGUUAGAUAAUCCCUCUUCUUUUUUAAAGCAGUUGGACUAAAGAUUGUCAUGGCAAGUUAUAUACAAACAACUGAGUUACCAUUACCUUUCCGUCAGCUCGAACCAGUCUGGCCAUUCUCCGUUGACCUCUCUCAUCAACAAGGUGUUUCUGUCCACAGAACUGCCUCUCACUGGAUGUUUUUUGUUUUUGGCACCAUUCUGAGUAAAUUCUAGACCCUUUUGUGCAUGAAAAUCCCAGGAGAUCAGCAGUUACAGAAAUACUCAAACCAGCCCAUCUGGUACCAUCAAUCAUGCCACGGUUGAAAUCACUGAGAUCUCAUUUUUUCCACAUUCCAAUGGUUGAUGUGAAAAUUAACUGAAGCUCCUGACCCGUAUCUGCAUGAUUGUAUACAUUACACUGCUGCUACACGAUUGGCUGACGAUUGCCGUAGAGUGAUAAAGAAUAUCUGUUCCUUGAACUUCUUUGGCUUAAAUAUCCAUAAAAUUAUGAUUUUAAGUACUAUUAACUCAAACUAUCAAGUACAGAACUGAGGAUGUGGGGAAUACCCAGAAAUGUGCUUGAAUAAUUAAAUAAAUAUUCCAGGUUCAGUACAAGUUAAUCAAUAUUAUGGCAAAAAUUCUGUCGAUUGAUUUAUAACUUGUAUUGAACACGGAAUAUACCUUUAAGUGUGUUUGUUCGGUCAGAAGUACCAAACUUAUUACAGAUAUUUUAGUUCUUUUUAGUAUUAUUGAUGUUGUUGUACUGUAAUUCGUUUUUUUGUGUAAAGUCACCAUAAGGGUGUUCCCUUUGGUGAAGUUGGAACCUGUUCAAUCCAUGUAAUUUUUCCAUGCCCAUGUCAAUGUGUUUAGCUGCAGUGCAACUUUAUUUGCACUUCUUUGGGAAAGACCUCAAGAUUGAAGAACAGUUUUUUUUUUUCAUAGGCAGUCAGACUUCUCAACAACUUGGCCUGACUGCUUACACAAACAUCCAUACGGACUCAUUGCACUCCCCCCACCAUAUUACACAUACAUUUAUUGCACUAAUUAACAAAUACAUCACCCCAGCCACCUUAAAAACUGUGACAAAUUGCUGAAAUAAGUUUUGCACAAUUUACCUUGCCGUUGGUACAGGAUUUUGCACUAGCGGUUUUAUAACUGCUUGUCUAUUGUUUGUAUUUAUAUAGUCUAUUUCUUGUAUUUAAAUUGCCUAUAGUCUGUAUAUACUGUCCCUCAUGUCUGGACAUACUGUCACUCAUGUCUAUUUAUUGUCUGUCUGUAACGUGGUGCUACUGUGCUGCUGUAAUUCUGCUAAAUGUUGAAUGUUUGCACCAAGGUUUCCUGGAGAACUGUAUUUUGUUUUUCUCCCUCAAAGGAAAAAAUGACAAUAAACCUGACUUUGACUUUGAUAUUUUAAGUAAAUCCAACACAUAAUUCUUUUCAGUGUACAAUGACUUUAAAAAAUAACCCAACUCUGAAAAAUGUUAUUUCGUAAAAAGUGUGACAAAUAUCCCCAAUCUCUUCUAUUUCAGAUCUAAAUACCCAGUUCUAAAGCCCAUGUAAACAUAGGUACUUUUGGUCAACACUAUCAAAUUUUCUUUGUUUGUACUUUAAAGCUAACUAACCCCUAACCCAUGUUAUUGUUUGCUAGCAUAUGUUGCAUGUCUUGACCCUAGAGACACUAUUUCAUCCUCUCUUUUAUAUGUACCUGUAUAAGUGCUGAAUAAUCAUAAACCAAACCUGACUUGAAUACAAAUUUGGCAUGUAUUUCAGAAGUUCUCCAGUUAUAUCCAAGUACACACACACACACACAGACACUGUCCCUUCACAAAAAGACAGACAGGAUUUCACGCAGACAUGUGACCUGUUAUAUAAGCACCAAAAGCUUUAUAACAGUCUGUAGAGCCAAGUGUCUAAGGGAUAGGGCAGAGCUGGUGUGAGGGUGUGUGUGUGGACAGGAUAUUUUUAGUUGUCAGAACGGAGGAAUCGAUCUGGUCCAAGAGACGCUGCUGAGAUGUUCUUCCGCAUUCCUCUUUUGACACCUGGAUACAUUCGAUACCUGCAGACCCAGGCAGCACGGACUGGACUGCAGAGGGAGGGGCCCUUUGUACCCCGCUUUGCCAUGCUUCUGGGCCUUGUGGGCAUUGGAAUGUCGGGAUACAGCUCUCGCCAACUGACCUUGUACCACAAGCCUUCGCCACACCUCCUGCGGUGAAUGUAUAAAGCAGAAAGAUGAGUAAAGGGGUUUGAAGAAAAACAUUCACCAUCUCUAAUGCUUUGAGGUGUUCCCCUCCUUGAUUGUGUUUCAAUUUCUACAUCUGUUUUUAUUUUGACUCCGCUAAGUUCACCACAUCAUGCUGAAGCUCAUAGUCUUGGUUUGGUUACGAGGAUGGCCGAUCCUUAACCAAGCUCUACCAAGCUUGUUCUUUGAUUCAUUGCCUUAGCGGGCAGAGUAAAUUAAAUGCUAUGACCAUGACUAAUCUAUUUUUAAAAUGUUUUAAUUUAAGCACAUUAGUGCUGUCACACUUGAGCUCAGUUUCAAAUGCAACUCAAUUGGUCUUCUUCCAAGUCCACACAUUGGACUGUUAGGUAGUAGUCCGUUGUGGAAUCAAAUUUUGAACCAAUGACAAAUGGGACACCCGGCAGUCUUGUGCACUGCACAGACAUGUGCAAGCGAAGGCCACAAGACCGCAGGUCAAAAUUGGGUCCAUUUAGUACUAAAAUACUUUUUUGACAAAGUGUGCUGUGAAGGUUUUAUCUAUCCCCAAAAUAUGCUUAUAUUUACUGUUUAUACACUUCUUGAUAUCCACUAAAGAAGGUCAGCAAGAUCACCUAUUUAAAUAUUAUAUAAGUGGAGCAGCAUGCACAUUUUGGUAUUUGGUUUACCAUAAGAUGAGACUUAAGAGUCUUUGCCGGGAAUAACAGGCUCUUUGGUCGAAAGCCAGCAGCUCAGGCAACACUUACACAGUAUGUCACAGCGGAAACAUUAUUUUGAAGCAUGACUUCACCUUUUAUUGAUUACUUUAAGUAAUUCUAAUGGAUUGCUCAAACAAUGAAUAGAGCAAUUUCAGCAGGUCACAUUCAUAGCCAUGAGUCAUUAUUUACAGCAGGCCAGGGCUAUCGUUUAAAUACACUGAGCAUUUAACAUUGAAUUUGUCAAAGGCAGGCAAUGUCUCUGAAACAGGGUUGAAAUGGGAAAGGAGGCGGCGGGAACCGGCUGAACAAUCAAAGUAAUAUUUUAAUAGGAACUUAAACAUAAAGGCAAAAACAUAAACGCACACAUGGCAGCUGCAUGUGGCUCUCUCUCUCCUAAACUUCCGCAUUCCGCUGCACUUAUCCCUCUCCUCGGCUGAUUAGCCCGAUUGGGGUCCGGGCGUGCAUAGUCAUGGCCCGGCCCCACCCUCCUCCUCGUCACAGUCUCUUUUAAUAUGGCUGUCAGAAAGUUACACUGAGUAAUUAUGUUUUGCACAAGAUUAUAUGUAUUUAAAGGAAUGCUCCGGGUUCAAUGCAAGUUAAGCUCAAUCUACAGCAUUUUCUGGCAUAAUGUUGAUAAAUACAAAUAAUAAUAAUAAAAAAGCAAUAAUCGCAGUUACAGUAAGGCACUUACAAUGGAAGUGAAUGGGGCCAGUCCAUAAACAUUCAAAUAUACACUGUUUCAAAAGUAUAGCCACAAGACACAAACAUUAUAAGUGUUAACAUGAUUUUAGUGUCAUAAAUGUGCUUACUAACCUUUUCUGUGUACAUUUAUAUCCAAUAUUACAACUUCGUUGUCAAGACGAUGUAACUCGGUAAACCCUGUAAUCUGGUAAAUGCCAUAACGGCAGUAAAUCUCUGAUUUUAUGACACUAAAAUCAUGUUAACAUGUAUAAUGUUUGUGUUUUGUGGCUAUACUUUUGAAACAGUGUGUAUUUUAACAUUUAUGGACUGGCCCCAUUCACUUCCAUUAUAAGUGCUACACUGUAACUGGAUUAUUUUUAUUUAUUUAUUUAUUUAUUUUUGAAUAAACGAGGGAUGAGUCUAAAUGAUUUUUUGUUGUAAUCAACAUUAUGCAACAGAUGUUUUCGAUUAAGCCUAACCUACCAGAGCUCUACCAGGGAAUGUAAAUAUUGCUGAUUUGCACAACAAUGUAGAUUUGUAUUUAUUAUCAAUAAAUGCUCAUAAAAUGAACAAAUGUACAUAUUUUAUAUUCUUACAUAUAUUAUUUAUUUAAUACAUGUUUGUUUGUAUAAAUGUUUUAGAAUUCCAAUGUACAGACCAUUCUAAUCUGCAAAAUAAGUUUAAUGAAUUACUUUCUUAUUACAUUUUGUAUGUGAACAGUAUUGGUGUUAUAAGUGUAUAUAAAAUGUAAACUGUAAUGUAUUCAUACAGUAUGUGAAUAUGUGAUUGCACUAUAUUCUUUAGUUUUGAGAGUAGGACAGUGUUUCUGUGAUGGCCGCCUGAAGCCCCAGCUUUGCCACGCAGUGAUGUGGCAAAGCUAAAUCUGAGCUUGGCACUCUGGCCUGCCAACCUCAGUGCCCGAGAGUAAACAGACGUCAGCAUGCAGAAUAUCCAAAUGUCCAUUCAGAACACUGACCUAUCAGAAACUCUCUCCUAUAGAUACCUGAUCAGUACGAUCUCUUAAAGUGUGCUGCUUUAUGGAAAAUGUAUGUUGUUUUGGCACUGAUGUACUGUAUGUAAUGAAUGUGAAUGUCUCACCGACAGCAAAAUGCCAUUGAUGUCAUGAAUGGGAUGGGUCAUGUAAUGGUGUCAUGAUAUCUCAACUGUGUAUUGAAGAAGAGGAGCUUAAAAUGGCUUAAUCUGCUACUUGUACUCAUCCAAUUUGAGAUGGCUGCUAAUCAAAGACCUUUAUUUAAAAACCUCAUCAACAAACGAACAACUGCAUGAGCAAAUGUCUUUGCAAUUAUGUGGAAAUAUACAAUCUUACAGUUAUACUGUAGAUUUCUUGAUUUAACCAUUCAAAUUGGGAAUGUUGCGCUGUUCUGAUUUAGUGUGGAUGAUGUCUAACUGAUUUGCAGUGGUUUUGUUGUUGGAUUUACAGACUAAUGCACUUUGAUGACAGAAAUGAUUGUAUUUUCAAAGCACUUUGUGAAUAAAGAGAGAUUAAUAUA